UCCUGGUUAACCCAGGCAGUCUCAUUAGAGUUCCCACCUUAAAUGUUGGCAACUAAUGAUAAGGGUUGCGCUCGUUGCGGGACUUAACCCAACACCUCACGGCACGAGCUGACGACAGCCAUGCAGCACCUGUGCAGCAGCCCCGAAGGGAAACGCCAUCUCUGGCGUCGUCUACUGCAUGUCAAGCCUGGGUAAGGUUCUUCGCGUUGCAUCGAAUUAAACCACAUGCUCCACUGCUUGUGCGGGUCCCCGUCAAUUCUUUUGAGUUUCACCCUUGCGAGCGUACUCCCCAGGCGGUAUACUUAUCGCGUUAGCUUCGGCACAACUAGGGUUGAAUCCAGUUACACCAAGUAUACAUCGUUUACGGCAAGGACUAC
rnacentral:misc_RNA from 1 species